CGUGCCUAAUACAUGCAAGUCGAACGAACUCUGGUAUUGAUUGGUGCUUGCAUCAUGAUUUACAUUUGAGUGAGUGGCGAACUGGUGAGUAACACGUGGGAAACCUGCCCAGAAGCGGGGGAUAACACCUGGAAACAGAUGCUAAUACCGCAUAACAACUUGGACCGCAUGGUCCGAGCUUGAAAGAUGGCUUCGGCUAUCACUUUUGGAUGGUCCCGCGGCGUAUUAGCUAGAUGGUGGGGUAACGGCUCACCAUGGCAAUGAUACGUAGCCGACCUGAGAGGGUAAUCGGCCACAUUGGGACUGAGACACGGCCCAAACUCCUACGGGAGGCAGCAGUAGGGAAUCUUCCACAAUGGACGAAAGUCUGAUGGAGCAACGCCGCGUGAGUGAAGAAGGGUUUCGGCUCGUAAAACUCUGUUGUUAAAGAAGAACAUAUCUGAGAGUAACUGUUCAGGUAUUGACGGUAUUUAACCAGAAAGCCACGGCUAACUACGUGCCAGCAGCCGCGGUAAUACGUAGGUGGCAAGCGUUGUCCGGAUUUAUUGGGCGUAAAGCGAGCGCAGGCGGUUUUUUAAGUCUGAUGUGAAAGCCUUCGGCUCAACCGAAGAAGUGCAUCGGAAACUGGGAAACUUGAGUGCAGAAGAGGACAGUGGAACUCCAUGUGUAGCGGUGAAAUGCGUAGAUAUAUGGAAGAACACCAGUGGCGAAGGCGGCUGUCUGGUCUGUAACUGACGCUGAGGCUCGAAAGUAUGGGUAGCAAACAGGAUUAGAUACCCUGGUAGUCCAUACCGUAAACGAUGAAUGCUAAGUGUUGGAGGGUUUCCGCCCUUCAGUGCUGCAGCUAACGCAUUAAGCAUUCCGCCUGGGGAGUACGGCCGCAAGGCUGAAACUCAAAGGAAUUGACGGGGGCCCGCACAAGCGGUGGAGCAUGUGGUUUAAUUCGAAGCUACGCGAAGAACCUUACCAGGUCUUGACAUACUAUGCAAAUCUAAGAGAUUAGACGUUCCCUUCGGGGACAUGGAUACAGGUGGUGCAUGGUUGUCGUCAGCUCGUGUCGUGAGAUGUUGGGUUAAGUCCCGCAACGAGCGCAACCCUUAUUAUCAGUUGCCAGCAUUAAGUUGGGCACUCUGGUGAGACUGCCGGUGACAAACCGGAGGAAGGUGGGGAUGACGUCAAAUCAUCAUGCCCCUUAUGACCUGGGCUACACACGUGCUACAAUGGAUGGUACAACGAGUUGCGAACUCGCGAGAGUAAGCUAAUCUCUUAAAGCCAUUCUCAGUUCGGAUUGUAGGCUGCAACUCGCCUACAUGAAGUCGGAAUCGCUAGUAAUCGCGGAUCAGCAUGCCGCGGUGAAUACGUUCCGGGCCUUGUACACACCGCCCGUCACACCAUGAGAGUUUGUAACACCCAAAGUCGGUGGGGUAACCUUUAGAACAGCCGCCUAUGUC
rnacentral:rRNA from 1 species